GUCGUACGAUGGUCCCCUUCGGUGGGGAUUAGUGGCGAACGGGUGAGUAACACGUGGGCAAUCUGCCCUGCACUCUGGGACAAGCCCUGGAAACGGGGUCUAAUACCGGAUACUGACCCUCACGGGCAUCUGUGAGGUUCGAAAGCUCCGGCGGUGCAGGAUGAGCCCGCGGCCUAUCAGCUUGUUGGUGAGGUAAUGGCUCACCAAGGCGACGACGGGUAGCCGGCCUGAGAGGGCGACCGGCCACACUGGGACUGAGACACGGCCCAGACUCCUACGGGAGGCAGCAGUGGGGAAUAUUGCACAAUGGGCGAAAGCCUGAUGCAGCGACGCCGCGUGAGGGAUGACGGCCUUCGGGUUGUAAACCUCUUUCAGCAGGGAAGAAGCGAAAGUGACGGUACCUGCAGAAGAAGCGCCGGCUAACUACGUGCCAGCAGCCGCGGUAAUACGUAGGGCGCGAGCGUUGUCCGGAAUUAUUGGGCGUAAAGAGCUCGUAGGCGGCUUGUCACGUCGGUUGUGAAAGCCCGGGGCUUAACCCCGGGUCUGCAGUCGAUACGGGCAGGCUAGAGUUCGGUAGGGGAGAUCGGAAUUCCUGGUGUAGCGGUGAAAUGCGCAGAUAUCAGGAGGAACACCGGUGGCGAAGGCGGAUCUCUGGGCCGAUACUGACGCUGAGGAGCGAAAGCGUGGGGAGCGAACAGGAUUAGAUACCCUGGUAGUCCACGCCGUAAACGGUGGGCACUAGGUGUGGGCGACAUUCCACGUCGUCCGUGCCGCAGCUAACGCAUU
rnacentral:rRNA from 1 species